UUAAGAUAACAACAACAACAACAACAACCAUGGCAAUGGGACCCUGACUGGAAGAAAGAUUUUGAUUCCUGGUCACAUCUCUUGAGGAGUGGACUAUCACUCACAGUCCCAUCUCAGCCACAAGCGUUGUGGCUGAUGGCAGGCAGCAGGGAGGACGGGAGCUGAACAGAUCAAAUGACCCUCUUUAUGCCAAUGGGUCACACCAUAAUCCUAGUGAGGCUUGUGAAGUUGUGAAGACCAUGCGUAAGCUCAAGUCAAGAUAAAUAAGAUAUGAAACUACAAACAUGAGCAUCUUGACUCCCCUGCACUUCUCACCCAUGGUGCCCCUCCUGAGCAGUGAUUCCCACCCUGGUCCAGCUUUGAUCCUACAGGAAUGAACGUGCUUCCCACCUUCAGUGAGCUUCUCCUUUUGCUCCAUCACUUCCAGCUGGAGUUU
rnacentral:lncRNA from 1 species